rnacentral:rRNA from 1 species
AGGUAGAGAAUACUAAGGCGCUUGAGAGAACUCGGGUGAAGGAACUCGGCAAAAUUGUACCGUAACUUCGGGAGAAGGUACGCCCCUGGUUGUGAAUCCCUUGCGGAGUAAGCAACUGGGGGCCGCAGUGACCAGAUGGCUGGGACUGUUUAUUAAAAACACAGCACUGUGCUAAAUCGAAAGAUGACGUAUACGGUGUGACACCUGCCCGGUGCCGGAAGGUUAAUUGAUGGGGUUAGCGUAAGCGAAGCUCUUGAUCGAAGCCCCGGUAAACGGCGGCCGUAACUAUGACGGUC